UCUUAUUUAAAAAAGCAAUUUAAUCGUAUCCAGUUUUUAUUUGCUCUAGUCGAAUUGGUUUGUAAUUCGGACAAACGAGCGAUGAUCAUUGGAAUGAUCCAAUCGCUAUUUCGUUAUUUUUUUUAAUACCGGUGUCGGUUGUUUGAAUAGUAGCCGAAACCCGUAAGCAAUAGCGUGUGUAUUGUAAACAUCCCAUGGUAUUUUAACCCAUUAUUAGCAGUUGAGAAGUCUGGCAGAACUAUGUAAUUAUUCUCAUUCGGCGGAUGGCUUACUUCGAAGCGUGAUACUAUGUGGAAAAACGUUUCGUGGUUUUUCUUGCAACUUCCUCAGUGAGAGAUAUUUAGAAAAUAUCUACUUUGGAAAAAAAAAACACUAGCGCUGGUGUUACUGUUGUAAAUGAUAAUCGUAAUAAUAUUGAAAUGAUUGCGAACAAGGUCGCGCGCAACAAUUUUGACGAGCGCAGACAAUUACCAUCCUUAUCGUUUCAUUAAGCGAAAUUAUUAUGAUGUUUGUCGAGCAUACGGCCGUGUCUUCGAGAUUUGUAAAGAUUAACCAGAUGCACGUCUAAAACAAUAUUACUUAAAAAAUGAGAAACCAAACGAUAUCGUUCAUGUUUUUGUGCGUCACAUUUUUGUUAUAAGAGGGACACAUUAAUCAUUUGUCGGGGAAAAAUAUUCUAGGCGAUAUGCCAAACGCCUAUCCGAUGUAAUACAGCACACGUUUACGUUCCGAUGACCUCUCUAUGUGUUAGUGUGUACAUUGUUCAAGGCAGAAGCUCAACAUCAGCAAAUGAACACGCCCAGGCCGCUGUCCGAACAAUUGGUUUUGAUUUAAUAUGUCGCGCCUAUGUUGCAACAUACCUGCCGCUUUAAUGAACACAUUGACUUCUAAGCGUUCAUUGUUUUACAAUUGGUCAUUUUCGGUUAAAAAGUUUUUAAUUUGCUUUAAAUAUUUAUUUUCGUAGAAAAUCAUAAAAUAAAGACGAUCUUUCAAUAAGCUCUGUUCAGUUUAUCGCGUCAGAUUACAAUUUGUACACGGUUGUUUGUAUUAAUUUCGCGUGGUAUUAGUGGCCAAUUUUCGCUUUGAAACGUGUAUUGGAGGUUAUGAAAAAAAUUAUUCGACAUAGGCUGUGAUAUAGAGCACAACGUGUACCGUCACGGCUGAACGAUCGCCAUCAACGAACUACUGCAUUUUUUGUCUUGCUGUACAAUGUUGUCGAUAGAGACGAGCAGCCAUAAUUACUAGACCAUGGGUGUAGCAGUUAUUUUAUGAUGGUAGCAGUCACCGUAGUAAUAAAAAUGCGUCUAACGUCUCAUAUGUCCACACACUGGACAAUUGAUUAUUUUAAGUAUAUCCGAGAGAAAGCAGAUGUCUCCUGUUUGAAUUUGUACUUUUGAGUAACAUGCAAAUGAUAAAAUCUUGAAUUAUUUUCCUAGUGUUCCUUUAUUUUAGCUAUAAACGUUAUCCGAAUGAGAGACCAAAUAUAGACUGUUUCGGGGAAAUAUAUGCUUAAGAUUUUAUUGUGUUCACUUUUAGAGCCCACUGGAUAAAAGUUAGAAUUAGUUUUGAAUUUCAUCCAAAAUCGUGUGUCUAAGAGAACUCUGUUUGGGAAUUCUCAGACUACUCAUGUAGUUGGAAAUAGUUAAUUUCAUUUUUUGUAACGAUUAAAAAUGCUCACGUAUUUACAAUCUAUACAGAGUGAUUGUUUUAUAGUUGACCACUAAAUUUUUUCUAAAAUGAUAAUAAUGUUGAGAAUUUAUUUUUUUAGUUUUGUGUAGAAUUAUUUAUUUUUCGAUUUAUAAUUCAUUAAAUAUUGUUCAGGUACAUAAUUUUUCAGACUGAUCCCUUAUUUUGUAUAAGGUCACCUACUUUUUUUUUAAUCGUAACAUAGAUAUUUUACUAGCUUAAAUGUAAAAAAAUGGUUGGUUGAUAACAAAUUUUGAAUCAGUAUUUCGAGUAAUUAACAUUUUUUAAUAAAGACUGGAGCCUGUUGUAUUAUUAUCAUUAUACAUUAAUCUGUCGCGUUUCUCCCAUCUAGAUAUAAAAAUGUUCAUAAUUUCACAAAUAAUAGUUCAAAAUUUGCUGUUAGCCAUUCAUUUUCUUAGUUAGAUCAUAUUCUAAUAUUUAAGCUAGUAAAAUAUGUAUGUUGCCUUUAAAAAAAAUCAAGUUGGUACUUUUAUAAGCAAAAAACAGAAAAUUGUUUAAAUUAUUAUUUUAAAUAAAAUUUAACGGUCAAUGAAAAAUCAAUCAGUUUUUUGUAUUAACUAUAUAUUAUGAGCAUGUGCACCGUACUUUUUAUUUUUCCGCUGUUAUAUUCAUUAAUAAUGUUGGUCAUAUUAGUUUACAAGAAUUUUCUCGUGCAAGUUUUUUUUUAUAAUUAUGUCUUUUUCAAAUUAUAUUUUUGAUGUUAGAGGAAUAAUUGAGAUUAUUUUUAUUAAAUUUUCAAUGAAAUUAUCUUGUUUAUAGGUUUUAAACAAAUUAUUUUAUUUUGCUUGUAACAUUUGUUUUUUCUUGUACGCCGUAAUAUUACAUCAGAGACUUAAUGUCUACUAUCGUUUCAUUGUUCAUUUAAUGGGUUAUCGAUAUUAUUGUUUAUGAUUCGCGUAUAUUAGAUUAUAAACAAUUUAAUUAUUCAUUGUGUGUAUAGUUUAAAAUAAGAACGCUCACACGGAGACAUUAAAAAAAUUUACUUCCGGCGUGUCAAAAUUAGAUUUAGUAAUAUUUUUCUGACGAUUAUUCUUCAAGGUUACCUCAGUUAUCAAAGCUUUUACGUGGAUACAGUUAAUUAACCUAGAAAUCUAUAUUUUUAUUAUUUUUUCGGGUUUUAAAAGUUCCUACAAAUUACUUUGCGAGCUUCUAUAAUCACAAUGUAAGUAUGCAGGGUGAUAAAUAUGAUAAAUGAAACCACUUAAUUGAAAAAUAAAAAUAAUGGUAAGAAUCUUUUUUGGAAAAUUUUUUUUUCUUUA